rnacentral:lncRNA from 1 species
UUUCUUGACUGCAUCUGAAUUCACAGGACGAGUGAAAUCCUCCCCAUCCAUUGUUGUAAGCAUCAAAGCCCCGCCUGAAAAGGCUCUCUUAACAACAUAUGGACCUUCAUAAUUUGGAGUCCACUUGCCCCUGGAAUUGGGCGCGAAAGACAAAACUUUCUUGAGCAUAAGGUCACCUUCUCGGAACGCACGAGGCUUGACUUUCUUAUCGAAUGCUUUCUUCAUUCUCUG